UACGGAGGGUGCAAGCGUUGCUCGGAAUUAUUGGGCGUAAAGGGUAGGUAGGUGGUCUCAUUUGUCUGUGGUGAAAGCCUUGGGCUUAACUCAAGAAGUGCCUCAGAAACGGUGAGACUAGAGUUCUGGAGAGGGUCGUGGAAUUCCCGGUGUAGAGGUGAAAUUCGUAGAUAUCGGGAGGAACACCAGUGGCGAAGGCGGCGAUCUGGGAAGAUACUGACGCUGAGGUGCGAAAGCGUGGGGAGCAAACAGG
rnacentral:rRNA from 1 species